rnacentral:misc_RNA from 1 species
GAUGAAGAACGCAGCGAAAUGCGAUAAGUAAUGCGAAUUGCAGAAUUCAGUGAAUCAUCGAAUCUUUGAACGCACAUUGCGCCCGCCAGUAUUCUGGCGGGCAUGCCUGUUCGAGCGUCAUUUCAACCAUCAAGCCCCAGGCUUGUGUUGGGGACCUGCGGCUGCCGCAGGCCCUGAAAACCAGUGGCGGGCUCGCUGUCACACCGGGCGUAGUAGAUUUUAUCUCGCUCAGGGCGUGCUGCGGGUUCCGGCCGUUAAAAAGCCUUUUUUACCCAAGGUUGACCUCGGAUCAGGUAGGAAGACCCGCUGAACUUAAGCAUAUCAAUAAGCGGAGGA